rnacentral:lncRNA from 1 species
UUCCAGGGCGCCGACGGGAUUGGGCGGGGCGCCCUGCCUGAGAGUGGUGCCGUUGCCCCCGGCCUUGAGGACUCAAGGGCUGGGAGCAGCGCAGCCCCAGGGUGCAGCAUUACUAAGCCCUCACCCUCCACGGUCUCGAGACCCCUAGUCCUGUCCUUGCAAUCCUGCCGCCCCCGGCCUCCAGUACUGUCCCUAUAGCCCCAGUUGUGCCCCUCCUCUGUCCACAGGUUCCGGUGCCACAGCCCUCUCAAGUCCCAGGGCCACACUGCCACACUCUGCAGCCAUUGACCCGAAUUACAAGUUCAGGGAAGAACUAGAAAAUGGAACUUGGCCAGAAAAUCUUCAUUGUUCAAGAAGUCGCCCCAAAGUUUUUUUCUUUUCCCCUGAGCUUUCAACCCAACUAAAUGAAGGGGAGGGCAGGUCACUACUUUGGACUUUCCUCUUUCCCAAACUGGGAGGGGAUAAGGGUGAAAUACUAGAAAUUAGAUCAAAGGAAAGAAGGACUGUCAUAGGGAAGAUACUUUAAGAAUCACUUCAGAAACAGAAGCUGAUAUGAGCAGCCCUGUUGCGGUACCACUACUAUUAACAAUUACUAGGAUAGUAACAGCCCUAGUAAUAGUAGUGUCUCAUACCUCACCAGGAGACUGGCACAGAACAAGAAGCAAUCCUAUCAAGGAGCUGGGAAGCAAAAACGAGACAAUUUUUUGCCCCAAUAAAGACAGGUGCUGGUAACA